AUUGAACGCUGGCGGCAGGCCUAACACAUGCAAGUCGAGCGGAUGAAGGGAGCUUGCUCCCUGAUUUAGCGGCGGACGGGUGAGUAAUGCCUAGGAAUCUGCCUGGUAGUGGGGGACAACGUUUCGAAAGGAACGCUAAUACCGCAUACGUCCUACGGGAGAAAGUGGGGGAUCUUCGGAACUCACGCUAUCAGAUGAGCCUAGGUCGGAUUAGCUAGUUGGUGAGGUAAAGGCUCACCAAGGCGACGAUCCGUAACUGGUCUGAGAGGAUGAUCAGUCACACUGGAACUGAGACACGGUCCAGACUCCUACGGGAGGCAGCAGUGGGGAAUAUUGGACAAUGGGCGAAAGCCUGAUCCAGCCAUGCCGCGUGUGUGAAGAAGGUCUUCGGAUUGUAAAGCACUUUAAGUUGGGAGGAAGGGCAGUAAGUUAAUACCUUGCUGUUUUGACGUUACCAACAGAAUAAGCACCGGCUAACUUCGUGCCAGCAGCCGCAGUAACAC
rnacentral:rRNA from 1 species